GGGGGCGUCACGGCUUCGACGGGAUUGCUUGCGGCAGAGAGGCAUGCCGGGGUGUGAACACCCGUAAUCGCUCACAAAACUAUAAGUGCCGAACCUCAAUUCGCGCUUGCUGCUUAAUUAACUAAGUAGCCGAUCGCUCGGGCUUCGCCUACGGGCCCGUACCGAUCGUCGCACAGUAGGCUGGCCAAACCUGCUCCGCCUGCGCGGGAAUGGCGAGAUCGAUCAGGCUGGUCGUCGUCGCAUCUUCGUCCGUUCUAAGCGACGAUGACGAGACAAGAUGAACUGGAAAAAGCAUGAAGGCUCUCUGUUGAAGGUUUUUUCGGACGCGGGUUCGACUCCCGCCGCCUCCACCA
rnacentral:tmRNA from 1 species